CUUAAUUAGAGCCAAUUAGAGACACAAUGAGACUUUUGCAGGGAAUUCUGGGAAGGAGACUCUCACUAGAUCCUUGCUUGACUUGAGAGGUAUGAGGUUGGAACGGCUGUAGCCAUCUCCAUCUAUUGAGGGAACACGGGUUUGAGAACACAGUCAAGUCAGGACGAGAACAAGAGACGCUGGAUCUUGAGGACAGUGCUUGAGCCCUCGAAUCAAUCAAUGUCUAAACUAAUGGAGGGUCGAUGAAGACAUUUGGCCAGAGGACCCUGAAACACCUGAAUCCCACCUUUGGCUGGCUAGCCCCAUUUCUCAGCAGUGCCUUCACAGGAGCGCACAGAGACAUAAUACAACCACAGAAAAGACAAAGAAAAAGAGCUGGCAGCACCUCCAACCUCCCCUCUCCUUAAUUCUCCAUCCUGGAACAGAGUAGUAGUACUGAGGAUUAUCUAUUGCAUACCUAACCUGUGACUGACAGAGGAGGGCCAGCAGACACCUGGAUGAAGCGAGAGAACGAGUCAUGUGAAACUCUGGGGACGAGCAUUCCUGCAGAGGGGAACAUGAGCACAAAGGCCCUGACAUAGGAAGGAACUUCACCUCUGAAGAAGAGGAAGAAAGCAAUAUGGCUAAGCUGGGCAAACUUGGACAAGUCACUUAUACUCAUUCAAUUUCCUCAUCUAUGUAAUAUGGAAAUAGCAAAACCACCUCUCAGGAUUGACAGAACAUGGAAAUGAGAUGUCCGUGCACAUCCUGUAAAUUGUAAAGGUGCUGAAUCAAGAUAAGGAAAUGGACACGGUUGCAAACCUGUAGAAGAGGGAAAGACUCCAAUCUUCUUGUUCUCAGUCUGGUGCUCUGUUCACUAUAAAAGUCUGCCAGAAGGGAAGUCAAACUGGGAAAACCUAAGAAAGGAAACUGUGAAAGACAAAGCCUACAGGAGGGGGUAGCAGAUUAAUUUUUAAUUAGCCCCUUAGAAACCGAAAGAAGCUUGAUACCUUACGCAGCUUUUGUAACACUACUAAGGACAUCAGUGCAAAAUAAGGCCUGUAUGACAUGUAUCUGCUCACACAUCAAGUGACUAAGUGUCAUAAGCCCUCAUAUACUCUCUGCAGGUGCUCUCCUUGGUGCUGGAGAAAAUGGGAAAGUGUAUUAAAUGUUAUUAAUGUCCCUGUAAAUUCUGUAUCAGAUUGAGAACUGUGAUUUGUGUUUAUAUAAUUCCUUUUUAUUUUUAGUGUAUGUAUUUUAGGGCUAUUAUGCUUUACAGUGAUCAUUGAUCAAUGGAUCUCUACUCCUGAAAUAAAUUGAGUCUCAAAUGACUAGGUCCUUCUCUCAGAGACCAAACCUUUUCACUAAGGGAUGGACUUUUCUGAAUGCCUGAGAAACUCUCUUAAUGGCUACCAGUAACUAAAAAUGGAUAUCAUAAUAAAAACUGACUCACAACCUAUUUUACUAGACUUCACAUACACAUGUGGUUCAGUUAGGAAGCUGACAUCUCACUUAGUAAAGGUGUGGGCCAGACUGCAGCAGGUGAAUGAGUCAUGGAUUUUAAAAUUCUCUAUUUCCCAUGGCUUUAAUUACAUAGGGUUUUCAGCAUGACACUGUAUUUUAUACAGAUCAGGUCACAAAUGAAAACUGAAGGAAAAAAUAAUCCGCUUUACAAAACCUUUAUGCCUUUUUCCCACUCUCAUUCUCUAAUUAACAAAUAAGCAUUUUCCAACCUAAGACAUCAAAACCUUUGGCAUGUUAGUUACAAUCAAGCUGAUAUAUCUUUGUUAUAGUUGCAUUAGGGUGAAGUGGAAUAUGAUUAAACAUAGCAUUGUAUUGAAAUUAUAACAUAGCACUGCAAUUUGAAAAUUUUGACCACUGUAUGGUCAGAACUACCUAUUGAACAUCUGAAUCUAACCUUCUAAUUUUAUAGGUGAAGGGGAAAAAAAGUCACAGAGAAGUACGAUAAUAAAGUUAGGUUUAGAAACUUUCCUCUGGUCCAGUCUAAUGUACUUUUACAACUCAUCAUUUCAAAAGAGUUAUAAAUGAGAAUCUGUCGAAACAAGAAAAAGAAAGAGAAGGAGAGAUAGAGAAAGAGAGAGAGAGACGAGGGAGGGAGAGAGUUGGAAGGGGGAGAGGGAGGGAGGGAGGUAGAGAGAGACAGAAGGAGGGAGGUAGAGAGAGAAAGAGAGAGAGAUUGAAAAACAAUUUGUUUCAGAAAAGUAUUGCUGAGAUGAACUGAGAAUAAUGGUCAGGGUUAGGAGCAGGAAGCUACUCAAAAGAGAAGCAUCCAAAUCUACACUGAAUAUUUCAGAAACAUUUGUUUUGUCACAGGCGUCUGAACCAAAGCCACUCCAUUUUGAAUACAGGCUGGGUAAAAUAAGACUGAGACCUACUGGGCUGCCUUCCCAGAAGGUUAGGCAUUCUUAGGAUGAGAUAAGAGGUCGGCACAAGAUACAGGUCAUAAAGACCUUGCUGAUAAAGCACGUUUGCAGUAAAGAAGCUGGCCAAAUCCCACUAAAAUAGGAUGGCGAUGAGAAUGACCUCUGGUGGUCCUCACCAUUACAGUCCCACCAGCACCAUGACAGUUUACAAAUACCAUGGGAAUGCCAGGAAGUUACUCUAUAUGGUCUAAAAAGGGGAGGCAUGAAUAAUCCACCCCUUGCUUAGCAUAUGAUCAAGAGAUAACCAUAAAAAUAGGCAACCAGCAGCCCUUGGGGCUGCUCUGCCUAUGGAGUAGCCAUUUUUUCAUUCCUCUACUUUCUUAAUAAACUUGCUUUCAUUUCACUAUAUGGACUCGCCCUGAAUUCUUUCGUGAGCAAGAUCCAAGAACCCUCUCUGGGGUCUGGGUCAGGACCCCUAUUUGGUAACAGUCCUACAAGCCAAAUUUCCUGCAAGGUGUUAAGGAGACUACUCCAAAAAUAACUUUAAAAAUUGUAGACUGCAUGAAAUAGAGUUUGAAGACUCUAAAUAUCUCCCCAAAAAGUCCAUUUUCACUUCCCUCUUCCUCAUUUGAAAGGCCAUUGUUCUAAAACAGAAAAACAAAAAAGCAGGAAAUGGAACUUUUUCAGAUGCUACAAGCUGUCCACACUCCCACAGCACAGUGUCCUCCCCACUUGCCAGUGUCUAUGGAAACUUCAAGUUGGGAAGUUCAAAGUUAAGGCAUCUGUUUAGCCUUCAGCAUUUAUUCCUACAUUGUACUCCAAGACAGCUCCUUCCAAACUUAGGCCAGACUCCAGUGAGGGCAGGCAAGGGAAAAACUUCAUCAACAAGGAGGUCAAGGCUUUUUCAAUGGAUGGCAAGAUCUCCUAUUUCUUGUGUCUUUUGUGUAUCAGUGGAAUAGCCACUAUUUGUGAAUAAAACAACUGCCCACCCACCAGGCUUAGAAAAUUAUUCAGCAGCCUAGAAACACGGUAGACAUAAACUCUGAACAGCAUUCCACUACCAACAUUCUCAGUGAUGUCAUCCUCAGCGACCUAGUUAGAAGCCUGAAAUGAGCAGGUUUUACAAUGGGGUAUUGAGAAUGAAAGGACAAAAGUUUACUGAAGUGAACAUUUAAACUCUUCAUUAAGCUAUCUUUCUCAUCUUCUUCAGAAGCCUCCAGGCAAAAGCAGUCAUUUGUAUCUUUACUUCUUUCAUCACCUCCACUUUGUUAAUAAGGUACUACCACUGGAACUCUAUCUCAGUUAACCGCUUAGUUACUUCAGGUAUCCACUCAAUGAAAUAAUAUAAUGGUAUUUACUAUUGCUGUUGUUACUGUUAUUAUUUUCAUUAUAAAAGACCAAAAUAAAUACCAAAAUGUUGGAGAGUGGUUAUCUGUGAAUGGUGGAAUUACAAGUACUUUUCUCUUUUUCACUUCUCAGUCCAAAUUUUCUAAAAUAACAUGUAACACUUUUUAAAAACUAUUUUUUAAAAGAAAUGUGGCUUAAAGAAAAUCUCAACAAAAUACUAGCAAGUCAAAU
rnacentral:lncRNA from 10 species